GACGAGCUCCCCAAACGUUAUUCGGUAUCACUGGGCUUAAAGAGUUCGUAGGCGGUCUGGUAGGUGAGGUGUGAAAGCCCCGGGCUCAACCUGGGAAUUGCAUUUGAGACUGCGUAGCUAGGGUGCGGAAGAGGGAAGCGGAAUUUCCGGUGUAGCGGUGAAAUGCGUAGAUAUCGGAAGGAACACCAGUGGCGAAGGCGGGUCUCUGGGCCGAUACUGGACGCUGAGGAGCGAAAGCGUGGGGAGCGAACAGG
rnacentral:rRNA from 1 species